GAUGAACGCUAGCGGCAGGCCUAAUACAUGCAAGUCGAACGGUCCGCUUCGGCGGAUAGUGGCGCACGGGUGCGUAACACGUAUGCAACCUACCUUACAUUGGGGGAUAGCCUUUCGAAAGGGAGAUUAAUACCGCAUAAGACAGUAGCUGGGCAUCCAGUAGCUGUUAAAGAUUUAUCGAUGUAAGCUGGGCAUGCGUCCAAUUAGUUAGUUGGUGAGGUAACGGCUCACCAAGACGAUGAUUGGUAGGGGAACUGAGAGGUCAAUCCCCCACACUGGCACUGAGAUACGGGCCAGACUCCUACGGGAGGCAGCAGUAGGGAAUAUUGGGCAAUGGACGCAAGUCUGACCCAGCCAUGCCGCGUGCAGGAAGAAGGCGUUCUGCGUUGUAAACUGCUUUUAUAUAGGAAGAAACGACCCUUGCGAGGGGCAUUGACGGUAUUAUAUGAAUAAGCACCGGCUAACUCCGUGCCAGCAGCAGCCGCCGUAA
rnacentral:rRNA from 1 species